rnacentral:rRNA from 1 species
AGAGUUUGAUCCUGGCUUAGGACGAACGCUGGCGGCGUGCCUAACACAUGCAAGUCGAACGGGGAUUAUUCGGAUGAAGUUUCGGAUGGAUGAAGAAUAAUCUAGUGGCGAAACGGGUGAGUAACACGUGAACAACCUGCCCUGAAUGGGGGAUAACACUUGGAAACAAGUGCUAAUACCGCAUAAGACCACGACCCGGCAUCGGGAUGAGGUCAAAGAUUUAUCGCUUUAGGAGGGGUUCGCGUCCCAUUAGGUAGAUGGCGGGGUAACGGCCACCAUGCCAACGAUGGGUAGCCGAGCUGAGAGGCUGAUCGGCCACACUGGAACUGAGACACGGUCCAGACUCCUACGGGAGGCAGCAGUGGGGAAUAUUGGGCAAUGGGGCCGCAAGCCUGACCCAGCAACGCCGCGUGAGGGAAGAAGGUUUUCGGAUUGUAAACCUCUGUCGCAAGGGACGAACGAAGUGACGGUACCUUGUGAGGAACGCCCCGGCUAACUACGUGCCAGCCGCCGC